rnacentral:rRNA from 1 species
AUUCCAGCUCCAAUAGCGUAUAUUUAAGUUGUUGCAGUUAAAAAGCCCGUAGUUGGAUUUUGGGUCGGGGAUACCGGUCCGUCGUUUCGAUGUGCACUGGUCUCCCCUUCCUUUCUGCCGGGGACGGCGUUUGCUCUUUACUGAGCGGCGUCGGAGUCGGCGUUGUUACUUUGAAAAAAUUAGAGUGUUCAAAGCAAGCCAUCGCUCUGAAUACAUUAGCAUGGAAUAACAUGAUAGGACUCUGGUCUUAUUUUGUUGGUUUCCGAGACUGGAGUAAUGAUUAAGAGGGACAGUCGGGGGCAUCCGUAUUUCAUUGUCAGAGGUGAAAUUCUUGGAUUUAUGAAAGACGAACUUCUGCGAAAGCAUUUGCCAAGGAUGUUUUCAUCG